rnacentral:rRNA from 1 species
ACAUACGACCAUAGGGUGUGGAAAACAGGGCUUCCCGUCCGCUCAGCCGUACUUAAGCCACACGCUGGGAGGUUAGUAGUUGGGUGGGUGACCACCAGCGAAUCCCUUCUGUUGUAUGUU